rnacentral:rRNA from 1 species
AGGAUAAACGCUGGCGGCGUGCAUGAGACAUGCAAGUCGAACGGACGAUCGAGGCUUGCCUUGAUCGUUAGUGGCGGACGGCUGAGUAACGCGUAGGUGACCUGCCCCGAAGUGGGGAAUAACU